AUCAUCUCUCUCUACACUCUCAGUUCUCUCUACUCUCUCCCUUUAUAGAAGAUCCGGCUAACCUCCGGUGACCUUUCCGGUGAUUUUUUUGGCAAAGUUUUCAGGUGAGUGAACUCACAUUUCCUACUAACUUCGAUGUUCCUGUUUGCAUGGCGAUGUUAGUUUUCGCUAACUCAGAGCGGUUUGAGCUCUAGAGCAACUCCAAUGAGAGUUCCGACCAAAUUCCGGCGAGUUUGUUUUCAAGUUCUCUCUUUAUGUAUGUCAAGAUCAGGACUUUAGGAGCCUCUAUGCAAGUUUUAGGGUCAAUCUAUUUUCAGGAAAAAUUCAGGUACCUAGUGACUUCAGAAUUUGAAACGGGUUUUUGGCAACCUAAUGCCUUCGGGCAUGAUGUUUUAAGACAAUGAAUAUUUUGUAGGUUGAUCCACAUAAUGGGUCCUUUUCCCAACUAAACACCUUAAACUUUUAAUUAUGAAUGACUAUAAAAGAUAAUUUGAUUCU